AUUGAACGCUGGCGGCACGCUUAACACAUGCAAGUCGGACGGCAGCACAAGAGGGGUAACCCUCUGGGUGGCGAGUGGCGGACGGGUGAGUAACGCGUAGGGAUCUGCCUAUUAGAGGGGGAUAAGCCGUGGAAACGCGGCGUAAUACCGCAUACGCUCUGAGGAGGAAAGGUUGGGACUGCCGAAAGGUGGCCAAUCGCUAAUAGAUGAACCUGCGUUAGAUUAGCUAGUUGGUAGGGUAAAGGCCUACCAAGGCGAUGAUCUAUAGCUGGUCUGAGAGGAUGACCAGCCACACUGGAACUGAGAUACGGACCAGACUCCUACGGGAGGCAGCAGUGGGGAAUAUUGGACAAUGGGGGAAACCCUGAUCCAGCGAUGCCGCGUGUGUGAAGAAGGCCUGAGGGUUGUAAAGCACUUUAGUUGGUGAGGAAAAGGGAUGCGCGAAUAGCGCAUUCACAUGACGUUAACCAAAGAAUAAGCACCGGCAAACUCUGUGCCAGCAGCCGCGGUAA
rnacentral:rRNA from 1 species